rnacentral:tRNA from 1 species
GCGAAGGUAGCUCAGUGGUAGAGUGCUUGCCUUGCAUGCAUGAGGCCCUGGGUUUGAUUCCUCAGCAUCACA